rnacentral:rRNA from 1 species
AGUGAACGCUGGCGGUAGGCCUAACACAUGCAAGUCGAACGGCAGCACAGUAAGAGCUUGCUCUUACGGGUGGUGAGUGGCGGACGGGUGAGGAAUACAUCGGAAUCUACUUUUUCGUGGGGGAUAACGUAGGGAAACUUACGCUAAUACCGCAUACGACCUACUGGUGAAAGCAGGGGAUCUUCGGACCUUGCGCGAUUGAAUGAGCCGAUGUCGGAUUAGCUAGUUGGCGGGGUAAAGGCCCACCAAGGCGACGAUCCGUAGCUGGUCUGAGAGGAUGAUCAGCCACACUGGAACUGAGACACGGUCCAGACUCCUACGGGAGGCAGCAGUGGGGAAUAUUGGACAAUGGGCGCAAGCCUGAUCCAGCCAUACCGCGUGGGUGAAGAAGGCCUUCGGGUUGUAAAGCCCUUUUGUUGGGAAAGAAAAGCAGCAGGUUAAUACCCCGCUGUUCUGACGGUACCCAAAGAAUAAGCACCGGCUAACUUCGUG